UAUUGCGCAAUGGAGGAAACUCUGACGCAGUGACGCCGCGUAUAGGAAGAAGGUUUUCGGAUUGUAAACUAUUGUCGUUAGGGAAGAGAAAGGACAGUACCUAAGGAGGAAGCUCCGGCUAACUACGCGCCAGCAGCCGCGGUAAUACGUAGGGAGCGAGCGUUAUCCGGAAUUAUUGGGUGUAAAGGGUGCGUAGACGGGAAAGCAAGUUAGUUGUGAAAUCCCUCGGCUUAACUGAGGAACUGCAACUAAAACUACUUUUCUUGAGUGCAGGAGAGGUAAGUGGAAUUCCUAGUGUAGCGGUGAAAUGCGUAGAUAUUAGGAGGAACACCAGUGGCGAAGGCGACUUACUGGACUGUAACUGACGUUGAGGCACGAAAGUGUGGGGAGCAAACAGGA
rnacentral:rRNA from 1 species